GGGACGGCCUUCCCUGCACAGGGCUCCUGAGCAGUCUUUCCUGCCAGGCUCUGAUGUCCCCUCCUAAGGGGCUCAGUGGUCAGCAGAGUGCCCUUCCUACAGCUCAUCAUUUUCUGUUACUCUUAAUUACUUCUCCAGUCCGUUUUCUCUCUCCUGCUCCCAUGCAAAUUCUGAGGGCAGGGACCCAGUCCAAGGACCUUGCCCAGCACCCAGACGUCUGUGGAAAAAUAUCUGAGGAUGUAUGAGUGACACGAAAUGAAGAUUACAGCCCAGCCAGCCGACAGACGUCCACCUGGCCCAGGUCCCCUCUGCUCUCACGGGCUCCUGGAACGCGCGCUGACGGUCACCCCCACAUUGCCGCUGCCGCCCGGUGCGACCCUCCACCAUCGGAGCCUGAGCCUGGCGGGAGAGGAGAAGAGGUGCACGAACCUCUGGAUACUUUGAGGACCUCAUGGAGAGGAAUCCACCCACAUCUACAGGUGGCCUUUUCAUUCUGCUGAUGUGCCCUUUGAUGGAUGUCCUCAGUGGGACGCCCUGCUCCCGGCCCUGUGCUGCGAUCUCAAACAACUCCGUGAGGUUGACAUGGGUCCCAAUCUUUGCCUUGCAUGGGUUAUUGUGGAGCUGAACGAAGGUGGAAAUAAUAAAUAUUAGCCCCUCUUCCAGAAAGUAUUUGGGUAUUCCCCUUUCUAUGACGCUUCUCCUAUCCUAGGUCAGCGGACGCAGCUUUGUCUCCCAGUUGCGUCCUGCUGGGAAUUUGUAGUAUUUGCGACCCCCCCCCACAAAACUAAGCCUUCCUUUUCCUCUCCCCGAAAGUCCCAGCAUCGUGGAGCCUGCUCCGACCCUGGCCCAACACUACCACACAUCACGGGUGCACAGAGGUAUUACACGAUGUGCUUGUCGAAAUGCAGAUUCCUGGGCUCAGGAAGGGCACCAAACGACUUGGAUGCUAUGGCUUGAGAACCACAGAGGAUGCUGUUUAACUGCCCAGACCCUGAACAGCCCACCUCCAGUGACUUCUGCCUCCAUUCCAGGCCACCCGCCCCCCGGCCAGCUCCACUUCUAGAAUCUUCCUAUCCACCCUAUGGAUUCUCUCUCCUGGUGACUGCAUGAACCCUCACCCCACACAAUUUCUCACCAUCCCCAACUCAGUGAGGAGACUGGUUCCGAGGCCCUUCCUUCUUAGGCCUCAGACUCUGAUGGGAGUUUCUCAGGCUCUACCUCCUGAAGGGGGCUUCUGGGCCACCUCUAUCAGAUCCACCUGGAGAGAACCUAUGACCUGCCCCUGGGCCUCCAGCCACUCUCUGGGCAGGGGGCCCCUGUCUUUGUUUCCCCAGGGGCUGCCGGGCACACGGAUGCUAACUGCCUUGGUCAGGCGGUCCUGGAAGCUUGAACUGAAUGAUCAGUUAAGGCCUGGCUGGGCAGACUCACAGACAGGCUCCUUGGGGAAGAGAAGCACAUGCAGGCUUCAUGGUGGGCGUACAGUGGGAUCUCACUGGGGCUUGACGGGCCUUCUCCUGAUGAUUGACGACAUUGGGCAUCUUUGCACGCAUGCUCGUGUUUCACACACACAUUCAACAACCCAGCCUGAGCAUCUCGGCGACAGGCCGCCGAAGCAGCCCUGCCGCCGCUGCCGGGACCUGUCCGGGUGCAGUGCAGCUGACCCCCGGGGGCCACCGGGCGCACCCGGAACCACCCGGCCCACUGGGACCACCCGGGCCCACGGGACCCACCAGGAACCACCGGGCCUACCCGGAACCACCCAGGCCCACGGGGCCCACCAGGCCCACCGGCAACCACCCGGCCCACCCGGAACCACCCGGCCCCCUGGGACCACCCGGGCCCACGGGACCCAUCGGGCCCACCGGGAACCACCCGACCACCCGGCCCGCCGGGACCAUCUGGACCACCUGGACCACUGGGCCCACGGGACUGCCCGGAACCACCCGGCCCACUGGGACCCAUUCGCCAUGGACGCGCGGGGACCCAAAGCCCCCGGCGGGGAUGCGCUGCGCGACGCGGCAGAAAAUCUAUUUCAGGAACUUCAAGAACAUUUUCAAGCUCUGACUGCAACGUUAAACCUCAGAAUGGAAGAAAUGGGAAAACGCAUUGAGGAUUUACAGAAGAAUGUUAAUGACCUAAUGGUGCAAGCUGGGAUUGAAAAUUCUAUUAAAGAACAAAUGAGGGUACACUGUAUAGUCACCUCCGGCUGCGAAUCCGCGCUGACCCCAUACGAACCCGCGCUGACCCCAUACGAAUCGAAUCCGCGCUGACCCCAUACGAACCCGCGCUGACCCCAUACGAAUCCGCACUGACUCCAUAUGUGGAAAAGGAAAAGCAUUUAACAUUUAUGUUCUUCGAUGUACUGAAUUUUUCCUAUCCACAAAUGUUUUAAUAAUUAUAGGAAAUUAAGGGCAGCCAGAAACCAGAUUGAUUUUGCUCAGGCCCAGGAGCUACUCAAACUUUUUUUUUAAGUAAAUUAAUUAAUGAAUUUCAAGAGUUUUUGAAAUACUUCGCAAUCUUUUAUAUGGUGCUUUUUGUCCAUGGAGAUGUGUGAGAGCUUAACCACUUUACCGAACAAGAGAAUCAAAGGCCAGAUGCAGGACAAGAGCUACCGCAGUGGCUGGGGAAGACUGACACAGUGUGCAAGGCAGUACAGACCUCACGGAGACACUGUCGGUGUUCUUCGUAUAGCGUUUGACGAUAAAGGCGAAAAUGCCACCAAAGAAUCCUGAAACCAGAUGUAUUUUAAAAGCCACUAAUAAAAAUAAUGUAGAAAAAACGAUUCAAAAUGGCACCCAUAUAAAGUGAGUCCUCCCAAAGUUCCCCAUUAUGAUUUUCAAGACAUCAAACUUUCCCAACUAGCACCUCGACUUUCAGAUAAGAAACCUGGUGAGGCCAUGAACAUACCCUGUAUUUUAACUGAGUAACCUGAAGAACCAAACUCUGGGUGCAGUUUCUGUUAACAUCAGUGAGUGGUUUUUAGGGUGGUUGUAGCUUUGAUUCCGUCAGUGCCCAGAACUCCUCAUUUCUUCUCUGCAUGGGCUCAGAACAGUAGGAAAGAGGCAGUCUACUGUAGGGACCCACACAUAACAAUCUACUGCAAACACACGAGGUUGCUGGUUGUUUGAAUGUUUCAGAUCUUUGUUCUGAAUGUCUGAAAACUGUAAGUAAAUGACAUCAUGCCACGGUAUCUUUCUGUACCUAGCUUUUCCAUUUAGCAGUUUGAAAUUCAUCUGUAUCCAUGUGUGUAGCUCUACUUCAGUCACUAGCAGCUGUGUAAUAACCCUUUGAAUUUUGUUUUCCAUUUGACUAACAAUUGUUUCCAAGUAAUCCUGCAAUAAACACA